rnacentral:piRNA from 1 species
UGAUAUAAUAGAGUAGCUUGCCCACAAUC